rnacentral:rRNA from 1 species
AGUGAACGCUGGCGGUAGGCCUAACACAUGCAAGUCGAACGGCAGCACAGUAAGAGCUUGCUCUUACGGGUGGCGAGUGGCGGACGGGUGAGGAAUACAUCGGAAUCUACUUUUUCGUGGGGGAUAACGUAGGGAAACUUACGCUAAUACCGCAUACGACCUACGGGUGAAAGCAGGGGAUCUUCGGACCUUGCGCGAUUGAAUGAGCCGAUGUCGGAUUAGCUAGUUGGCGGGGUAAAGGCCCACCAAGGCGACGAUCCGUAGCUGGUCUGAGAGGAUGAUCAGCCACACUGGAACUGAGACACGGUCCAGACUCCUACGGGAGGCAGCAGUGGGGAAUAUUGGACAAUGGGCGCAAGCCUGAUCCAGCCAUACCGCGUGGGUGAAGAGGGCCUUCGGGUUGUAAAGCCCUUUUGUUGGGAAAGAAAAGCAGCAGGUUAAUACCCCGCUGUUCUGACGGUACCCAAAGAAUAGGCACCGGCUAACUUCGUG